rnacentral:rRNA from 1 species
UACGGAGGGGGCAAGCGUUAUUCGGAAUUACUGGGCGUAAAGCGUCCGCAGGCGGCGCACCCAGUCAGGGGUGAAAUACUGGGGCUCAACCCGGGACAGGCCGUUGAGACUGGUCUACUCGAGUGUGGGAGAGGUAGGUGGAAUUCCCGGUGUAGAGGUGAAAUGCGUAGAGAUUGGGAAGAACACCAGUGGCGAAGGCGGUCCACUGGCCCGGAACUGACGCUGAGGGACGACAGCUAGGGGAGCGAAUAGG